rnacentral:lncRNA from 1 species
CAGGAGUCAGGAGAACAGGGGUAUAGAGGGAUCUCAUACCAGCCUGCGUCACCACCUUCACAUCUGGAAAACCAGGACAAGUGACGCACCUGGCCAAGGGUGAACCUCAAACACGGCGAAUGGAACGUUGUGCCCAGCCAAUCCUCAGUCAGCCACUCUUGGCUCAGCCUGCUCAGGGGAUGACUCGGGAGACAAGGUCUAUUCCUGCCUGCCCCUCCUCUCCUAGCACGUUCCCCAGCUGCCCCUGCCUCUGUGGGUCAGUGGACACACGUCCCCCUGAUGGCACUGCAAUCAGAACACAAACAGGAGCUGAGCCACAAGAUACAUCUCCAGCCAGAGGGCUGCCGCUGGUGGGUAACCCACAGGUGUGGAAUUUCACCUUCUUUCUUUUUAAUGAUGGCCUGAGAUCUGGCUGUCAUGAUAUCUAGAAAAUGCAACAUUCAAGUGAAUCAUGGGAGUUCAAAGACCGCCCCUCUCAUCCUGACACAUGACUAGGGGCCAAAGAGUGUUCUGUGAUCUGAAAAGACACGGCCCUUCUUCUCCUGGUCCUGAGGACCCAGGCAAGGGUCAGUGACCAGGCCAGGCCAGAGCCAGUGUUCGGCCCAGCCAGGCGGCCUCUCCUAGGCCAGCUGGGCCUCAUCCCAACCCCCUGUUCCUUUUUGAAAUGGUUCUGUGCAGAGGGAUGGAGUUUCUGUCUCCUCCCUCAAGGAGAUGGAUUCUAAAAAUGGAGGAAAAAUCAAUAUCAUUAUGAAGAAGCCAAGGAGAGGGAGUGGCGAGAGGCCGCCGGCAGCUCUAGAUGUGAUGGCGUCUUUAGGCCUGGAGAGAACUAAUGUAAGAAACCCCCAACAAUUGCAUCCUUCCUGGUCACAGAGGGGAAAGGUCAUCCCUGCAUUUGGACAAGGGGGUCGCAGGGAGACAAGCUCUGUCGGUGUCUGGCCAAACGUCACAAUGGAUUAUUGAACAGCUGCUUCCCGUGCACUCAGAAAGGAAGUCAAUCACUAGGAGCCCCCAGGGGCUCCAAGGAGAACAAGCAUGCUUUCCUUUUUCAGGAGGGCCACUGGCCUGGAAGACCAGACAGAAGGCUGCAGAGGCUGGUGCCGCUCCACAUCCACUCAGGCCCAAGCCUGACACCUUGGAGGACACGCUGGAGACACGUGGAGAUCAGUCCAGGAGUAAGCAUGUGACAGGGCCACUGCGAUUCUUGCUACUGGGACAGGGAUGCUCUCCCCAGAGGUUCCUGGGAGUUCAGGUGACAGGCCACUCCUGCCACCCCACCAGGGGCCCGCCUGAGAAUGAACCCCGCACAGAAGGAUGCAGAGUUAGAAGACGCGGCAAGACAGAGUCCUGCCAAUAUCACUUGGAGCGCGUGAACCCUAUUUUGCUGAAGGCUGGAGUUACCCUGGGGCUUUUCCUGUUCAUGAGCCUCAAAAUUCUCUUCUUUCUUUAAGCCACACUGACCAGGGUUGCUUGUAACUAAGAGUCCUGCCUGAAAUAGAUAAUAAACCCCCAGGGGUGGCAGCAAGUGCUUUGAAACCAGCCGCCUGAAUCAGCAGGUAAGGGCUGGUGUGUGAGGCUGAAAACAACCAGAUGCCCGCAGGGCUGUCCGGCUGCAGACGCCCUGGCGGGUGGACAGGACCAUUUCCCAGAGGCAGACCCCCUCACCGGCACACCCGCAUGCCAUGGAAACCACUUUCACACCCGUUCUCUCUUGGACUAUCAUGGCAGCCUGCAAGGGAGGAGUCGCUAUGUCUCAGGGGUCCCGGGAGGGAGGGAGCACUGGAGCUGGGGUCCCCUCGGCCUGUCCAGCUCCAAGACCAGCCCUUGCCCA